rnacentral:SRP_RNA from 1 species
GCUGGGCAUGGUGGCGCACGCCUGUAAUCCCAGCUACUCAGGAGGCUGAGAUAGGAGAAUCGCUUGAACCCGGGAGGUGGAGGUUGCUGUGAGCCAAGAUUGUGCCACUGCACUCCACCCUGGGUAACAGAGCAAGACUCUGUCUCAA